rnacentral:lncRNA from 1 species
GGUACUCCAUUGUCUGAUGGAUCUGAGAACGCUGUCUGGGCUUGGUACCAAGAGCUGGUAUUUCACAGCAGCGACCGCCUCACAGACGAGCUGUGGGAAGCAGGAGGGAGACUCUCUCUUAGGGUGCCACUACUAUGGAGACACAGCUGGGCUGAACAAGAUUUGCUUCAAACGACAACAAGAGAGACAGAAAGUAUCUGGUUCAACCGCUGCCCGAGCAGGCAGGCACCAGAAGAGCUAGCAGCCAAUCCGGCCAUGCUCGAAGCCAGCUCUGCAGCUCAGCCAAUCAGUGACAUCAUUGCUUUCUUUAGCUUGCCCAUGGUGAUGUGAAGAUGAGAAGAAAUAGCAAGGCCCAACCAGUUCUUCAUCUGGAGACAGUUCAACGUUCUGCAAACCAGAUCUUCAGGAAUUUUACUGGGAUAAUUAUCCAAAUAAAUUGCAAGCAUUCUAUCCAAAUGGAGCUCUUUCUGAGAUGAAGAGAAUUCUCAAUGUCAAGAUUUGAACAAGAAGAGAAUGGAAUACACAAUAUGGACAU